rnacentral:rRNA from 1 species
CGGAGGAUCCAAGCGUUAUCCGGAUUCAUUGGGUUUAAAGGGUGCGUAGGCGGAAUGAUAAGUCAGUGGUGAAGUCCCUUCGCUUAACGAAGGAACUGCCAUUGAUACUGUCAAUCUUGAGUACAUUUGAUGUGGGCGGAAUGUGUCAUGUAGCGGUGAAAUGCUUAGAUAUGACACAGAACACCGAUUGCGAAGGCAGCUCACAAAACUGUAACUGACGCUGAGGCACGAAAGCGUGGGUAUCAAACAGGAUUAGAUACCCUGGUAGUCCACGCUGUAAACCAUGAUUACUCGAUGUUUGCGAUACACUGUAAGCGUCUAAGCGAAAGCGAUAAGUAAUCCACCUGGGGAGUACGCUCGCAAGAGUG